rnacentral:rRNA from 1 species
CCUACGGGGGGCAGCAGUGGGGAAUAUUGCGCAAUGGGCGAAAGCCUGACGCAGCGACGCCGCGUGAGGGAUGAAGGUCUUCGGAUCGUAAACCUCUGUCAGCAGGGAAGAACGGUCACUGUGCUAAUCAGCAGUGAAUUGACGGUACCUGCAAAGGAAGCACCGGCUAACUCCGUGCCAGCAGCCGCGGUAAUACGGAGGGUGCGAGCGUUAAUCGGAAUUACUGGGCGUAAAGCGCUCGUAGGCGGUAUGUCAAGUCAAGGGUGAAAUCCCCGCGCUCAACGUGGGAACUGCCUUUGAAACUGGCAAACUGGAGUGUGGGAGAGGAUAGUGGAAUUCCAGGUGUAGGAGUGAAAUGCGUAGAUAUCUGGAGGAACAUCAGUGGCGAAGGCGACUAUCUGGCACAUAACUGACGCUGGGGAGCGAAAGCGUGGGUAGCAAACAGGAUUAGAUACCCGAGUAGUC